rnacentral:rRNA from 1 species
AUAGGAGAUAAGAAGGCAUCUUUUUAUUUUUAAAAGACCUAGCAAUAGGUAUGCUUAGGGAAGAGCUUGCGUCACAUUAGUUAGUUGGUGGGGUAAUGGCCUACCAAGACGAUGAUGUGUAGCCGGGCUGAGAGGUCGAACGGCCACAUUGGGACUGAGACACGGCCCAAACUCCUACGGGAGGCAGCAGUAAGGAAUUUUCGGCAAUGGAGGAAACUCUGACCGAGCAAUGCCGCGUGAACGAUGAAGUAUUUCGGUACGUAAAGUUCUUUUAUUAGGGAAGAAAAGAUGGUGGAAAAACCAUUAUGACGGUACCUAAUGAAUAAGCCCCGGCUAACUAUGUGCCAGCAGCCGCGGUAAUACAUAGGGGGCAAGCGUUAUCCGGAAUUAUUGGGCGUAAAGGGUGCGUAGGCGGUUAAAUAAGUUUAUGGUCUAAGUGCAACGCUCAACGUUGUGAUGCUAUAAAAACUGUUUAGCUAGAGUUGGAUAGAGGCAAGUGGAAUUCCGUGUGUAGUGGUAAAAUGCGUAAAUAUACGGAGGAACACCAGAAGCGAAGGCGGCUUGCUGGGUCUUAACUGACGCUGAGGCACGAAAGCGUGGGGAGCAAACAGGAUUAGAUACCCUGGUAGUCCACGCCCUAAACGAUGAGUACUAAACGUUGGAUAAAACCAGUGUUGAAGUUAACACAUUAAGUACUCCGCCUGAGUAGUACGUACGCAAGUAUGAAACUUAAAGGAAUUGACGGGACUCCGCACAAGCGGUGGAUCAUGUUGUUUAAUUCGAAGGUACCCGAAAAACCUCACCAGGUCUUGACAUGCUUUUGCAAAGCUGUAGAAAUACAGUGGAGGUUAUCAGAAGCACAGGUGGUGCAUGGUUGUCGUCAGCUCGUGUCGUGAGAUGUUGGGUUAAGUCCCGCAACGAGCGCAACCCUUGUUGUUAAUUGCCAUCAUUAAGUUGGGGACUUUAGCAAGACUGCCAAUGAUAAAUUGGAGGAAGGUGGGGACGACGUCAAAUCAUCAUGCCCCUUAUGACCUGGGCUACAAACGUGAUACAAUGGCUGUUACAAAGGGUAGCUAAAGCGUAAGCUUCUGGCGAAUCUCAAAAAAGCAGUCUCAGUUCGGAUUGAAGUCUGCAACUCGACUUCAUGAAGUUGGAAUCGCUAGUAAUCGCGAAUCAGCAUGUCGCGGUGAAUACGUUCU